rnacentral:rRNA from 1 species
GGGCGUAAAGCGUGCGCAGGCGGUCGUGCAAGACAGAUGUGAAAUCCCCGGGCUUAACCUGGGAACUGCGUUUGUGACUGCACGGCUGGAGUGCGGCAGAGGGGGAUGGAAUUCCGCGUGUAGCAGUGAAAUGCGUAGAUAUGCGGAGGAACACCGAUGGCGAAGGCAAUCCCCUGGGCCUGCACUGACGCUCAUGCACGAAAGCGUGGGGAACAAACAGGAUUAGAUACCCUGGUAGUCCACGCCCUAAACGAUGCGAACUGGAUGUUGGGUGCAACUA